UACGUAGGGUGCGAGCGUUAAUCGGAAUUACUGGGCGUAAAGUGUGCGCAGGCGGCCGAGCAAGUCGAGUGUGAAAGCCCCGGGCUUAACUUGGGAAUUGCGCCCGAAACUACUUGGCUGGAGUGUGGCAGAGGAAGGUGGAAUUCCAGGUGUAGCGGUGAAAUGCGUAGAGAUCUGGAGGAACACCGAUGGCGAAGGCAGCCUUCUGGGCCAACACUGACGCUCAUGCACGAAAGCGUGGGGAGCAAACAGG
rnacentral:rRNA from 1 species